GUGAGGGGGUGCAGUGCAAAGUGGGGAGCAGAGAAAUGGGAGGGAGCUAAGGCAAGGCUGGCACCGGGAGAGGAAAGGCAAGAAGGGAUGCAGAGAGACGAUGGGGGUGCAGGAAUCAAAGGCACCCCAGUGCAAGGGCGGGGAGGUGCCAAAGGAAAGAAGGAAAACGGGAUCUGCGAGCAGGUGCCUGCUGCUGGAAGGGAGCAGAGAGGUGACACAGCACUGCACCGUGCCCAGCAGUGUGUGGGUGGCAAGGAGAUGGAGGGCUGCACAGCCCAGGCACCCUGUGGGGAGUCAGACGGGGUUUGUGGGGCUGGCAGAGCACCUUGGCUUGUCAGGAAGAGCCCAGCAGCCACCUCUGUGUUUGCUCCUUGAAGAGGCACAGCUGUGGUCUGCGUAUCACUGGGAGCAGGAGAGCUGCGGGGCAGUGGGGUUUGUGGGACAUGGAGGGGUCUGAUGGGCACUGGCUGCUAUUCUGGCCCAGCCUGGAUCUGUAACCCCAUCUGUGCUCGCUGGAACGGCCGUGCCCUUCGCCCCGGUCACCAGCCGGGUCUGAGUCACCAGGAAAUCUGAUAAGGCUCCAAUAAAACCACUGGAGUAGCGUUGAGGGGGGGUUGCUUGGCACUGUGUGGCCGGGCUCAGCCGCCCUGAUUUCUUGGCUCUGCUCCCGACAUCCUGAGUGUCAUAUGUGUGUGUGAUUAGAACAGUCCAGACCAGUGGGAGUUUUGACCUGGUUUAGCUAAACUUCAGAAGCUAAGGGGCCUUUCGGUAAAGAUGCAGUCCCUAGUCCUUGGGGGGGCAAUGUGUGGGGAAGGCACGGGCUCUUUUUCCAUGACAUGUGGCAGCUAAACCUCGAGCUUUGAAGGUUACGCCUGUUGGUUUGCAUCGGUUACAUUCUUAAUUUAAGACGGCAUCAGUUCCCAGAGCGCUGGUGCUUGGAAGGCUGCAGGGAAUGCAGCCCUUCCCGGCAGGCAGGAGGGGAGCCCAGCAGCCCCUGCUGCAGCUCCUCGGUGGAAAUCAUCCCCAAACAGUGACCCAUCAAUUAAAGCGACUCAUCAGCCCCAGCAGGAACCAGCUAGGUGUGUCAAUUCCUCUCUUCCGCUUGGUUAUGUGCUGGAUAUUCAAAUUAAUCUGUUUUAGCAAUUAGACAAGAAAUCCUGAAGCGCUUCUCUUUUUGAAAGGGCUUAGUCAUAACUGGGUGAGAAGCCUGAGCUGAGGCGAUGCGGUUGGUACACUUUGGGUUGAGGCAGGACUGUGCACUGGCAGCGAGAGACUCGCUGAGGCGAAAACACGGGGGCUGGUUUGCUUUCAGAAACAGUUCCUGGAAGCUAAAACAGCAGGUUCCCAACUGGCUGGAGACUGUUGAACUCUGCAAAAAAUUCCGGUUGGUGCAGAUUCUUGACAAGGAGGAAGACUUUCCAUCCCUGGAGGUGUCCAAGGCCAGGUUGGACGGGGCUUGGAACAAGCUGGUCUAGUGGAAGGUGUCCCUGGAUAGUCUUUUACAGACCAUCCAGCCCAAACCAUUCGGUGAUUCUGAUUCUAUAUUCCUGCUUCCUUCGGAUCAGGAGAUGAAAACCUGGAGAUACCCAGUUAAACCUGUGUUGCCAAGUUAAUCCAUCACUGCAUGGAUUAUCCAUGUCACUGCAGCGCUCUGACAGUGGCAGAUACCCCCAUCAGAGCCUUGGGGCUGGACCUGCCUUGGGGCUUCAUCAGUUCUUUGUGUCUUCUUUGUGUUAGGAGAGGACUCCAAUUACCUCCAGCUUGUCCUGGCCCAGCUGAGGUGCUCAGAGUGACUCCUGGAACACUAUCCUUGCACUGGGAGAGAAUGUAAUUAGAAUUAAGCUCCUUAGCCUGGGAAGGGCACAGGGUGUAAAAAUUGAACUUUAUGUGCAUGUUGUGGGUUUCUUACACUGAAUUUUCUUUUUUUUUUUCCCUGCGUGUAGCAUAGAUUGAGGAUAGAAAAGGAGACAGAUUUAUUGAAAGUGUUAAAAAUGCCUUCUGAAUUAAAUUGUUUUCCUUCAAACACUGUAAAAAGGGGCAAGGCCAGCUCUCAGGCAGUUUUAUUCCUUGCUCCCUGUAAAUUUCCUUAAAACCCACACCCUGUUUCAUGAGGGUACUUCCCCAGGUGCAGGAGCUGAGGUGCUGGGAGAACACCUUGUUUCCAUUCCCCAACUUCGAAACUGCAGCAGGAAGCUUCAGAUCUGACAUCCAGAGCGAGCAAGUCCUCCUUGUCUCCAGCCCUGUUAUUCCUGUCUGUCACCAGCUUGAAAAAAAAAUCAGGCUCCCGCGCCCCAAUUUUCUCUCCAUCAGCAAGAAAAACUUCCAUGUCAAGGGCAUCCAAAGCCUGCCCGAUUUUCUCUGUGGAGCUUUAGAUGCCCAUGGGGAUGGUAUCUGAGAAGAGAAGAUAAAACCUUUUUGUAAGGAUGGUGGUGAUGGAUCCCAAUUAUUAUUUGUUUAAUUAAAAGACUCCGGACCGAUGCAGAGGCAACAAUUAACAAUUAUCUUCUGUAAAGAACUUUGACAACAGCUGAAUAAGUUAAUGCAUUAUGAGAUGGAGACAAAUCAUUGCAGCUCUGUCAUUUACGAGGUUGGAGGUGUAAGGGAGAGUCCUCAGGCUUCCACAUACUGUCUGAUUUAAGGGGCUUUUCCUCCUUCUGUUGGAAUAAGCAAGUAGCAAUUUUCUUCUGUUGUGCAGCUGGGAUUAUCUGGGAGCCAGGGAAUUAAGAUCUAAAUGAAAAUUUAUACUAUUCAUUACACUUUAUUAAUAGACCUUGGGGAUGUUUAAUUGUGGAAAUAAAUUAUAGAGGGAUGAA